rnacentral:lncRNA from 1 species
GAGUCGUACAGUUUUAUUUCUAAUCAAGCGUGUGUGCUUCUCUUGCUCAGGCAGGGGAAUCAUAACUUUUAGGCCAGUCUUGGAUGUAUAGUGAGACUCAGAAACAAAAGAAACCAACCAACCACAAAAGCCCCUGUGUUUGAAUUUAGAUGGCUUCCUUCAUCCUGGUUUCUCCUCAAGUAUCCUUCACAACGUGGGCUUUCCAUCAAUGUUUCUGAACCCAUAAUGUUGAGAUUUCCCUGACUCACACUCUGUGGUAUCAUCUUGUUCGUUUGUUGUUGUUUUUAAGAGAGCAACUCAUUAUGUAUGCAUCGCUGGCUGCCCUAGAAUUCUAUACAGACCAGGCUGGCUUCAAAUUCACAGAGAGCUGCCCGUUCCUGCCUUCUGAAUGCUGGGAUCAUAUAUGAACCACCACUGCCAGCUAUGUCUUGAUUUAUUUAUUUUUUCUUUUACAGAAUGAUCUGAGACCUGUGUACUAUACAAAGAACAGAUUGGGGGUGGGGGGAAGCUAACAGUCUUCUCUGCGUUUUAAGUCCUGUUUGUGUUGAGUUGAAACACUGAUACUAAUGAGUAGAUACAAAAGGAAUCAGAUAGGCAAGGUGUAGUGGCUCAUGUCUUUAAUCCCAAUACUUGGGAGGCAGAGGCAGGCAGGUCUCUGUAGAGAGCUGGAGGCCAGCCUGGCCUACAAAGUGAGUCCAGGAUAGCCAGGGCUUUUACACAGAGAAACCCUGUCUCAACAAAACAAAAGAAAACAAAACAAAGCAACAAGCAAACAAAACAAAACAAUAAAACAAGCAAACAAAAGGGAGUGGGAGAUCCCUGAUUCUAUUAAAAAAGAUAGAAACAUAAAGCGUCUGCAAAAGAACAGGCAGUGUUGACAGGAAUCAAGCUAACGGAAUAGAAU